rnacentral:rRNA from 1 species
CAGUCGCCGCGGUAAUACGUAUGGUGCAAGCGUUAAUCGGAAUUACUGGGCGUAAAGCGUGCGCAGGCGGUUAUAUAAGUCAGAUGUGAAAUCCCCGGGCUCAACCUGGGAACUGCAUUUGAGACUGUAUGGCUAGAGUGUGUCAGAGGGGGGUAGAAUUCCACGUGUAGCAGUGAAAUGCGUAGAUAUGUGGAGGAAUACCGAUGGCGAAGGCAGCCCCCUGGGAUAACACUGACGCUCAUGCACGAAAGCGUGGGGAGCAAACAGGAUUAGAUACCCCGGUAGUCCCUGUCUCUUAUAC